UACGGAGGGUGCGAGCGUUGUCCGGAAUCAUUGGGCGUAAAGGGCGCGUAGGUGGCGGGACAAGCGUGCGGUGAAAGCCUGGGGCUCAACCCCGGGUCGGCCGUGCGAACUGUUUUGCUUGAGCACUGUAGAGGCAGGCGGAAUUCCGGGUGUAGCGGUGGAAUGCGUAGAGAUCCGGAGGAACACCGGUGGCGAAGGCGGCCUGCUGGGCAGUAGCUGACACUGAGGCGCGACAGCGUGGGGAGCAAACAGG
rnacentral:rRNA from 1 species